rnacentral:rRNA from 1 species
ACGGGAGGCAGCAGUGAGGAAUAUUGCACAAUGGGGGAAACCCUGAUGCAGCGACGCCGCGUGAGUGAAGAAGUAUUUCGGUAUGUAAAGCUCUAUCAGCAGGGAAGAAAAUGACGGUACCUGACUAAGAAGCCCCGGCUAACUACGUGCCAGCAGCCGCGGUAAUACGUAGGGGGCAAGCGUUAUCCGGAUUUACUGGGUGUAAAGGGAGCGUAGACGGCGAUGCAAGUCUGAUGUGAAAGCCCGGGGCUCAACCCCGGCACUGCAUUGGAAACUGUGUUGCUAGAGUGCAGGAGAGGUAAGUGGAAUUCCUAGUGUAGCGGUGAAAUGCGUAGAUAUAAGGAAGAACACCAGUGGCGAAGGCGAUCUACUGGACAGUAACUGACGCUGAGGCGCGAGAGCGUGGGGAGCAAACAGGAUUAGAUACCCUGGUA